CAAAUUCUUCUCUGUGGACUCUAUGCUUACUGUUCCUGAAGAUGUUCACCAAAUGGGACCAAACCUCCAAAAAAGGAGAAUUUUAAUUUCUUCUUACCCUACUUAGAUGCUGGAUUGCAUAAUGUGGUUGUAAUCUUUAACUAUUUUUUUAAAAAAUAUUUGAGAUUAAAAAAUACUUAGAGGGGCAAUAGUUAGGGCAGGGGAGUGUUCAGUCCCUUUAUGAAGAUGUUUUUUGGCUGGGCUAGCACCUCGGCCUUGUGUUGAAGGAGUGAGAAGUAACUUGUACCACCGGCCACAGCUCUAGCUUGUGUUGGAAGUUUUGCAGAGUUGUUGAUCCUCUGCCAAGUAGACCAGUGAUUCCACCUAAAUGGAUAGAAUCUUCAACUCGGAGGCACCAGUCUCUCUCACUUGAGGAAAGAAUGCGAAGGAAGGAAUGGCCUGACUUCCUCAUGUGUGCCCUGUUUCUCGGUAGGCACCAUGUGGGGGCUGCCACACAUGUGCCGAAGCUUUGGGAACGUUCCGUUUAAAUACCAAUUUCGAUGCCAAUGCCUAACAUGGAGCACAAAUAUCCAGGUACCUCUCUGAUUUCUUCUCUUAUGCUUCAAACUCUUUGAGAACAGAAAUUUUUCUCAUUUGUGUUUGUAUCAUCUGUAGUAUUUAGCAAUGCCUUGCCUAUAGUAGGUAGGUGCUUAAUGACUAUUGUAUUCCAUUAGGGCCUAUUCAGUGAUGGUUUAAGUUUAGAAAAGAGUUUCCCUUGCAUUCAGUUUGCCAGUUUUUGAUCAGCAUCAUUAAAGGAGAACUAGCUUUACCUCUUUAAUAAUUUGUUUAAUUCUAAAUCAGUAAAAUUUUUGUGGUAUGCUGACGACAUGGCCUAAGCUAUUGCAGGAGGUUGAGAUAUUCAAGGUGAUAGAAAAAUAUCUAAGACCAAAUUCCUGUCCUGAAGAAGCUCACAUAGUUGUGGGAGCCAUAGAUAAGAAAGAAGCAUUUACGAAGCACAUCAAAAGUGUCUCAGAAGAGCUGUAUACUUGGCCAUGGGGGCAGCAGCUCCCGCUCAAGCAUCCCCUCAGCCUGCACACCUCCAGGACUUGCUGCUUUCUGUGCUGUUCUCAACACCAGGGUCCUUUCCUCCAGAAGUGGGACCUCUUAAGUGUGAGAAAAGAACUUGUUCUUUUAAGAUGGUACCUGAAUGACUUUUGAAAUUUAAUUAGAACCUGUAGUUUUUCAAAGCCUCCUGUUAUAGACCGAAUGGUACCCUCCUACAUUCAUAUACCGAAGCCCUGACCCUGGCGUGGCUGCAUUUGGAGAUAGGGUCUCUAAGGAGGUGAUUGAGGUUAAAUGAAACCAUAAGAAUGGAGCUCCAAUCCAGUAGUGCUGGUGUCCUUGCAAAGAAGAGGAAGAGGCAUCAGAGAUGCACAAGCAUGGAGAAAAGGCCAUGUGAGGACACAGCAAGAAGGUGGCUGUCUGCAAACCUGGAAGAGUGUCCUCACUAGAAGCCAUCCAUGCUAGCACCUUGAACUCCAGAACCAUGAGAAAAUAAAUUUCUGUUUUUAAGCCACCCAAUCUGUGGUAUUCUGUUACGGCAGCCCAAGUAGACUAGUAUACCAUGCAAAUAGACCACCAUCAUACACUCUAGCAUCAACGGGCACAGGGGGAUUCCCUCAGCUCUCCAUGUUGGGGCAUUUCCUAGUAGUUUGGAAGGUGCUUUCU
rnacentral:lncRNA from 1 species